CCACAAUGGUGAGAUGUAUUAAAUAGAACCAGGGAACCCCUGGCAGCAGUGAGCAAGACCUUUUCUUGUGACUCAACUAAAAUAUGACUCAAUAUAUCAUAAAAACAGAUUCAGAAAGUUGAAAAGAACACAUGAGGCCCAUCACUAUUGUGCAAGUUUUCAACACAUGCAGAAAAGAAACAUUCAGAAACAAAUCUUCACUCUACAAAUUUCUAUAUGAAUUUCCUCUAUAAAAAUAGCAAAUGCUCUAAAAUGAUACAGUACAAGAAACUGGGUUAACAUUGAAAAUCUAAUUUAAAAGCAAGAGGAUAAAAACGAGUUUUUCUAGUGCGCUUC